rnacentral:rRNA from 1 species
UACGGGGAGGGCAAGCGUUGUUCGGAAUUACUGGGCGUAAAGGGCUCGUAGGCGGCCAACUAAGUCAGACGUGAAAUCCCUCGGCUUAACCGGGGAACUGCAUCUGAUACUGGAUGGCUUGAGGUUGGGAGAGGGAUGCGGAAUUCCAGGUGUAGCGGUGAAAUGCGUAGAUAUCUGGAGGAACACCGGUGGCGAAGGCGGCAUCCUGGACCAAUUCUGACGCUGAGUGAGCGAAAGCCAGGGGAGCAAACGGG